rnacentral:rRNA from 1 species
AGCUCUCAAGGUGUAUAUCGCCAUUGCUGCGGUUAAAAAGCUCGUAGUUGGAUCUGCGCCUGUGGACCCGGUCCGCCCAAGUGGUGAGAACCGGACUCCCGGGCUGACCAGCCGGUUUUCGCGCGGUGCUCUUCACCGGGUGCCGCGCGCGACUGGCGAGUUUACUUUGAAGAAAUUAGAGUGCUCAAAACAGGCGUGCGCCUGCAUACUUGUGCAUGGAAUAAUGGAACAGGACCUCGGUCCGUUUUGUUGGUUUCGGAACUGAGAUAAUGGUUAAUAGGGAUGGACGGGGGCAUUCGUACCGCUGCGUGAGAGGUGAAAUUCUUGGACCGCAGCGAGACGCCCUACUGCGAAAGCAUUUGCCAAGAAUGUCUUCAA